GACGAACGCUGGCGGCGUGCUUAACACAUGCAAGUCGAACGAUGAUCAGGAGCUUGCUCCUGUGAUUAGUGGCGAACGGGUGAGUAACACGUGAGUAACCUGCCCCUGACUCUGGGAUAAGCGUUGGAAACGACGUCUAAUACUGGAUAUGAUCACUGGCCGCAUGGUCUGGUGGUGGAAAGAUUUUUUGGUUGGGGAUGGACUCGCGGCCUAUCAGCUUGUUGGUGAGGUAAUGGCUCACCAAGGCGACGACGGGUAGCCGGCCUGAGAGGGUGACCGGCCACACUGGGACUGAGACACGGCCCAGACUCCUACGGGAGGCAGCAGUGGGGAAUAUUGCACAAUGGGCGAAAGCCUGAUGCAGCAACGCCGCGUGAGGGAUGACGGCCUUCGGGUUGUAAACCUCUUUUAGUAGGGAAGAAGCGAAAGUGACGGUACCUGCAGAAAAAGCACCGGCUAACUACGUGCCAGCAGCCGCGGUAAUACGUAGGGUGCAAGCGUUGUCCGGAAUUAUUGGGCGUAAAGAGCUCGUAGGCGGUUUGUCGCGUCUGCUGUGAAAUCCCGAGGCUCAACCUCGGGCUUGCAGUGGGUACGGGCAGACUAGAGUGCGGUAGGGGGAGAUUGGAAUUCCUGGUGUAGCGGUGGAAUGCGCAGAUAUCACGAGGAACACCGAUGGCGAAAGCAGAUCUCUGGGCCGUAACUGACGCUGAGGAGCGAAAGCGUGGGGAGCGAACAGGAUUAGAUACCCUGGUAGUGCACGCUGUAAACGUUGGGCGCUAGAUGUAGGGACCUUUCCACGGUUUCUGUGUCGUAGCUAACGCAUUAAGCGCCCCGCCUGGGGAGUACGGCCGCAAGGCUAAAACUCAAAGGAAUUGACGGGGGCCCGCACAAGCGGCGGAGCAUGCGGAUUAAUUCGAUGCAACGCGAAGAACCUUACCAAGGCUUGACAUACACCGGAAACGGCCAGAGAUGGUCGCCCCCUUGUGGUCGGUGUACAGGUGGUGCAUGGUUGUCGUCAGCUCGUGUCGUGAGAUGUUGGGUUAAGUCCCGCAACGAGCGCAACCCUCGUUCUUGUUGCCAGCGCGUUAUGGCGGGGACUCAUAGGAGACUGCCGGGGUCAACUCGGAGGAAGGUGGGGAUGACGUCAAAUCAUCAUGCCCCUUAUGUCUUGGGCUUCACGCAUGCUACAAUGGCCGGUACAAAGGGCUGCGAUACCGUAAGGUGGAGCGAAUCCCAAAAAGCCGGUCUCAGUUCGGAUUGAGGUCUGCAACUCGACCUCAUGAAGUCGGAGUCGCUAGUAAUCGCAGAUCAGCAACGCUGCGGUGAAUACGUUCCCGGGCCUUGUACACACCGCCCGUCAAGUCAUGAAAGUCGGUAACACCCGAAGCCGGUGGCCUAACCCUUGUGGAAGGAGCCGUCGAAGGUGGGAUCGGUGAUUAGGACU
rnacentral:rRNA from 1 species